rnacentral:rRNA from 1 species
GCGUUGUUCGGAAUUACUGGGCGUAAAGGGCUCGUAGGCGGCCAACUAAGUCCGACGUGAAAUCCCCAGGCUUAACUUGGGAACUGCGUCGGAUACCGGAUGGCUUGAAUUCGGGAGAGGGAUGCAGAAUUCCAGGUGUAGCGGUGAAAUGCGUAGAUAUCUGGAGGAAUACCGGUGGCGAAGGCGGCAUCCUGGACCGACAUUGACGCUGAGUGAGCGAAAGCUAGGGGAGCAAACGGG